AAUUACAAACCGGCGGCCGCCACGGGCAGCCGGGAGGAGGUGUGUGCGCUGCGCCCGCGAGCUCCCGGGCUCGGCGAUCAGGGCGUGCUUAGGAUUGGCCAUAUUUUUUAAAAAUUUUAAGUAGCACUUGCACCUCCCACCCUCCGUCCUCCCGCCCCUCCUCGGUAAUUUAUUUCAAGCUCAGAGCCAAGGGCCACAAAAGGAAGGAAAGCCACAAGGAAUUAGAUGCGUGAGUGGCCCGGCUAAGGUGGACUCUCCUGCGGUCAACUUCCUAUCAGAUCAGCUUGCUGGACUUUCAGACCGGAAUGGGGCUUGCCUAAGGUCCAGCCCUUUGAGCCUGGGCCAGGAGCUAAGCAUUGCGGAAGCUGCUCCGUGUUGGAUGGGGGUAGGUGGGGGCCGGAGCGGGAUUUCUACCGUGCAGCCCGCCGGGGCGUUACGCCGGGCAUAAUGGAAUUGCAGAGGACGUGUAGCGUCUCCGGGCCGCUAUCGCCGGCUUACACGGGGCAGGUGCCUUACAACUACAACCAGCUGGAAGGGAGAUUCAAACAGCUACAAGAUGAGCGCGAAGCCGUGCAAAAGAAGACCUUUACCAAGUGGGUCAACUCCCACCUCGCCCGAGUGUCCUGCCGGAUCACAGACCUGUACACCGACCUUCGAGAUGGACGGAUGCUCAUCAAGCUGCUGGAGGUCCUCUCUGGAGAGAGACUGCCCAAACCCACCAAGGGACGAAUGCGCAUCCACUGUCUGGAGAAUGUGGACAAAGCCCUUCAGUUCCUGAAGGAGCAGAGAGUCCAUCUGGAGAACAUGGGGUCCCAUGACAUCGUGGAUGGGAACCACCGGCUGACCCUCGGCCUCAUCUGGACCAUCAUCCUGCGGUUCCAGAUCCAGGACAUCAGUGUGGAAACUGAAGACAACAAAGAGAAGAAAUCUGCCAAGGAUGCAUUGCUGUUGUGGUGCCAGAUGAAGACAGCUGGGUACCCCAACGUCAACAUUCACAAUUUCACUACCAGCUGGAGGGACGGCAUGGCCUUCAACGCCCUGAUACACAAGCACAGGCCUGACCUGAUAGAUUUUGACAAACUGAAGAAAUCCAAUGCACACUACAAUCUGCAGAAUGCGUUUAACUUGGCGGAGCAGCACCUUGGCCUCACCAAACUGUUGGACCCUGAAGAUAUCAGCGUGGACCACCCCGAUGAGAAGUCCAUUAUCACUUACGUGGUGACUUAUUACCACUACUUCUCAAAGAUGAAGGCCUUGGCUGUUGAAGGAAAGCGAAUUGGAAAGGUGCUUGACAAUGCUAUUGAAACUGAAAAAAUGAUUGAAAAGUAUGAAUCCCUUGCCUCUGAUCUUCUGGAGUGGAUUGAACAAACCAUCAUUAUUUUGAACAAUCGCAAAUUUGCCAACUCGCUGGUUGGGGUCCAACAACAGCUUCAGGCCUUCAACACUUACCGCACUGUGGAGAAACCCCCCAAAUUUACUGAGAAGGGGAACUUGGAAGUCCUGCUUUUCACUAUUCAGAGCAAGAUGAGGGCCAAUAACCAGAAGGUCUACAUGCCCCGGGAGGGGAAGCUCAUCUCUGAUAUUAACAAGGCCUGGGAACGACUGGAAAAAGCAGAGCACGAGAGAGAACUGGCCCUGCGGAACGAGCUUAUUCGACAGGAGAAACUGGAACAGCUCGCCCGCAGAUUCGACCGCAAGGCAGCUAUGAGAGAGACCUGGCUGAGCGAGAACCAGCGUCUGGUGUCCCAGGACAACUUUGGAUUUGACCUUCCUGCUGUCGAGGCCGCCACGAAAAAGCACGAGGCCAUUGAGACGGACAUUGCCGCAUACGAGGAGCGUGUGCAGGCUGUGGUUGCCGUGGCCAGGGAGCUGGAAGCGGAGAACUACCAUGACAUCAAGCGCAUCACGGCAAGGAAGGACAACGUCAUCCGGCUCUGGGAAUACCUGCUGGAACUGCUCAGGGCCCGGAGGCAGCGCCUCGAGAUGAACCUGGGCCUGCAGAAGAUAUUCCAGGAAAUGCUGUACAUUAUGGACUGGAUGGAUGAGAUGAAGGUGCUAUUACUGUCUCAGGACUAUGGCAAACACUUGCUGGGCGUGGAAGACCUGUUGCAGAAGCAUGCCCUGGUUGAAGCGGACAUUGGCAUCCAGGCAGAGCGGGUGAGAGGUGUCAAUGCCUCUGCCCAGAAGUUUGCAACAGACGGGGAAGGUUACAAGCCCUGCGACCCCCAGGUGAUCCGAGACCGCGUGGCCCACAUGGAGUUCUGUUAUCAAGAGCUUUGCCAGUUGGCAGCAGAGCGCCGGGCCCGCCUGGAAGAGUCCCGGCGCCUCUGGAAGUUCUUCUGGGAGAUGGCGGAGGAGGAAGGCUGGAUCCGGGAGAAGGAGAAGAUCCUGUCCUCUGACGACUACGGCAAGGACCUCACCAGUGUCAUGCGCCUGCUCAGCAAGCACCGGGCAUUCGAGGACGAGAUGAGCGGCCGCAGCGGUCACUUCGAGCAGGCCAUCAAAGAGGGCGAGGACAUGAUCGCUGAGGAGCACUUUGGGUCGGAGAAGAUCCGGGAGCGGAUCGCCUACAUCCGCGAGCAGUGGGCCCACCUGGAGCAGCUCUCGGCCAUCCGCAAGAAGCGCCUGGAGGAGGCCUCACUGCUGCACCAGUUCCAGGCGGAUGCCGACGACAUCGACGCCUGGAUGCUGGACAUCCUCAAGAUCGUCUCCAGCAACGACGUGGGCCACGAUGAGUACUCCACCCAGUCUCUGGUCAAGAAGCACAAGGAUGUGGCCGAGGAGAUCGCCAACUACCGGCCCACCAUCGACUCGCUGCACGAGCAGGCCGGUGCCCUCCCCCAGGAGCACGCCGAGUCCCCCGAUGUACGGGGCCGGCUCGCGGGCAUCGAGGAGCGCUACAAGGAGGUGGCUGAACUGACGCGGCUGCGGAAGCAGGCGCUGCAGGACACCCUGGCCCUGUACAAGAUGUUCAGCGAGGCUGAUGCCUGCGAGCUCUGGAUCGAUGAGAAGGAGCAGUGGCUCAACAACAUGCAGAUCCCAGAGAAGCUGGAGGACCUGGAGGUCAUCCAGCACAGAUUCGAGAGCUUAGAACCAGAGAUGAACAACCAAGCUUCCCGAGUGGCGGUGGUGAAUCAGAUUGCACGGCAGCUGAUGCACAGCGGCCACCCAAGCGAGAAGGAGAUCAAGGCCCAGCAGGACAAGCUCAACACGAGGUGGAGUCAGUUCAGGGAGCUGGUGGACCGGAAGAAGGAUGCACUCCUCUCCGCCCUGAGCAUCCAGAACUACCACCUCGAGUGCAAUGAAACCAAGUCCUGGAUCCGGGAAAAGACCAAGGUCAUCGAAUCCACCCAGGACCUGGGCAAUGACCUGGCUGGCGUCAUGGCCUUGCAGCGCAAGCUGACCGGCAUGGAGCGGGACCUGGUGGCCAUCGAGGCGAAGCUGAGCGACCUGCAGAAGGAGGCUGAGAAGCUGGAGUCCGAGCACCCCGACCAGGCCCAGGCCAUCCUGUCUCGGCUGGCCGAGAUCAGCGACGUGUGGGAGGAGAUGAAAACCACGCUGAGGAACCGCGAGGCCUCCCUGGGAGAGGCCAGCAAGCUGCAGCAGUUCCUGCGGGACCUGGACGACUUCCAGUCCUGGCUCUCCAGGACCCAGACGGCCAUCGCCUCGGAGGACAUGCCCAACACCCUGACCGAAGCCGAGAAGCUCCUCACACAGCAUGAGAACAUCAAAAACGAGAUCGACAACUACGAGGAGGACUACCAGAAGAUGAGGGACAUGGGUGAGAUGGUCACGCAGGGCCAGACCGACGCCCAGUACAUGUUUCUGCGGCAGCGGCUGCAGGCCCUGGACACCGGGUGGAAUGAGCUCCACAAGAUGUGGGAGAACAGACAGAACCUCCUUUCCCAGUCCCACGCCCACCAGCAGUUCCUGCGGGACACCAAGCAGGCUGAAGCCUUUCUCAACAACCAGGAGUAUGUCUUGGCCCAUACUGAGAUGCCCACCACCUUGGAAGGGGCUGAAGCAGCUAUUAAAAAACAAGAGGACUUCAUGACCACCAUGGAUGCCAACGAGGAGAAGAUCAAUGCAGUCGUGGAGACCGGCCGCAGGCUGGUGAGCGAUGGGAACAUCAACUCGGAUCGCAUCCAAGAGAAGGUGGACUCCAUCGAUGACAGACAUAGGAAGAAUCGCGAAGCAGCAAGUGAGCUUCUGAUGAGACUGAAGGACAACAGGGAUCUUCAGAAAUUCCUGCAAGAUUGUCAAGAGUUGUCUCUCUGGAUCAAUGAAAAGAUGCUUACAGCCCAGGACAUGUCUUAUGAUGAAGCCAGAAAUCUGCACAGUAAAUGGUUAAAACAUCAAGCAUUUAUGGCAGAACUCGCAUCCAACAAAGAAUGGCUUGACAAAAUUGAGAAGGAAGGAAUGCAGCUCAUUUCAGAAAAGCCGGAGACGGAAGCCGUGGUAAAGGAGAAACUCACAGGUUUGCAUAAAAUGUGGGAAGUCCUUGAAUCCACCACGCAGACCAAGGCCCAGCGGCUCUUCGAUGCAAACAAGGCUGAACUCUUCACCCAGAGCUGUGCAGACCUGGACAAAUGGCUGCACGGCCUGGAGAGUCAGAUUCAAUCUGAUGAUUACGGCAAAGACCUCACCAGUGUCAACAUCCUGCUGAAAAAGCAACAGAUGCUGGAGAAUCAGAUGGAGGUGCGGAAGAAGGAGAUUGAGGAGCUCCAGAGCCAGGCACAGGCCCUGAGCCAGGAGGGGAAGAGCACAGACGAGGUGGACAGCAAGCGGCUCACCGUGCAGACCAAGUUCAUGGAGCUGCUGGAGCCCCUAAAUGAGAGGAAGCAGAACCUGCUGGCCUCCAAAGAGAUCCAUCAGUUUAACCGGGACGUGGAGGACGAGAUCUUGUGGGUUGGAGAGAGGAUGCCUUUGGCAACUUCCACGGAUCAUGGCCACAAUCUCCAGACCGUGCAGCUGUUAAUAAAGAAAAAUCAGACCCUCCAGAAGGAGAUCCAGGGGCACCAGCCUCGCAUUGAUGACAUUUUCGAGAGGAGCCAGAACAUCGUUGCCGACAGCAGCAGCCUCAGUGCCGAGGCCAUCCGGCAGAGGCUGGCCGACCUGAAGCAGCUGUGGGGCCAGCUCAUCGAGGAGACGGAGAAGCGGCACCGGCGGCUGGAGGAGGCACACAGGGCCCAGCAGUACUACUUCGAUGCUGCCGAGGCCGAGGCGUGGAUGAGUGAGCAGGAGCUGUACAUGAUGUCUGAGGAGAAGGCCAAGGAUGAGCAGAGUGCAGUCUCUAUGUUGAAGAAGCACCAGAUUCUGGAACAAGCAGUGGAGGACUACGCAGAGACGGUACAUCAGCUCUCUAAGACCAGCCGGGCCCUGGUAGCCGACAGCCAUCCUGAAAGCGAGCGCAUCAGCAUGCGGCAAUCCAAGGUGGACAAGCUGUACGCGGGCCUCAAGGACCUGGCCGAGGAGAGGAGGGGCAAGCUGGACGAGAGGCACCGGCUGUUCCAGCUCAACCGCGAGGUGGACGACCUGGAGCAGUGGAUUGCCGAGAGGGAGGUGGUCGCAGGGUCUCACGAGUUGGGGCAGGACUACGAGCAUGUCACGAUGCUACAAGAACGGUUCCGGGAGUUUGCCCGAGACACGGGAAACAUCGGGCAGGAGCGCGUGGACACUGUCAAUCACAUGGCAGAUGAGCUCAUCAACUCCGGACAUUCAGAUGCUGCCACCAUUGCCGAGUGGAAGGACGGGCUCAACGAAGCCUGGGCAGACCUCCUGGAGCUCAUUGACACGAGAACACAGAUCCUUGCCGCCUCCUACGAACUGCACAAGUUUUACCACGAUGCCAAGGAGAUCUUUGGACGCAUCCAGGACAAACACAAGAAACUCCCCGAGGAGCUCGGGAGAGAUCAGAACACAGUGGAGACCUUACAGAGAAUGCAUACCACAUUUGAGCAUGACAUCCAGGCUCUGGGCACUCAGGUGAGGCAGCUGCAGGAGGACGCAGCCCGCCUCCAGGCAGCCUAUGCAGGUGACAAGGCUGACGACAUCCAGAAGCGGGAGAACGAGGUCCUAGAAGCCUGGAAGGCCCUGCUGGAUGCCUGUGAGGGCCGCAGGGUGCGGCUGGUGGACACGGGGGACAAGUUCCGCUUCUUCAGCAUGGUGCGCGACCUCAUGCUAUGGAUGGAGGAUGUCAUCCGGCAGAUCGAAGCCCAGGAGAAGCCAAGGGAUGUAUCAUCUGUUGAACUCUUAAUGAAUAAUCAUCAAGGUAUCAAAGCUGAAAUCGAUGCUCGAAAUGACAGUUUCACAACCUGCAUUGAACUUGGGAAGUCGCUGCUGGCGAGGAAGCACUACGCGUCAGAGGAGAUCAAGGAGAAGUUACUGCAGUUGACGGACAAGAGAAAAGAAAUGAUUGACAAAUGGGAAGACCGAUGGGAGUGGUUAAGACUGAUCUUGGAGGUCCAUCAGUUCUCAAGGGACGCCAGUGUGGCCGAGGCCUGGCUGCUUGGACAGGAGCCGUACCUAUCCAGCCGAGAAAUAGGCCAGAGCGUGGACGAGGUGGAGAAGCUCAUCAAGCGCCAUGAGGCUUUUGAAAAGUCUGCAGCGACCUGGGACGAGAGGUUCUCCGCCCUGGAACGGUUGACGACGUUGGAGCUACUGGAAGUGCGCAGACAGCAAGAGGAAGAGGAGAGGAAGAGGCGGCCGCCUUCUCCCGAGCCCAGCACAAAGGUUUCCGAGGAGACCGAGUCCCAGCAGCAGUGGGAUACUUCAAAAGGAGAGCAAGUUUCCCAGAAUGGUUUGCCGACCGAGCAGGGAUCUCCACGGGUUAGUUACCGCUCUCAAACCUACCAAAACUACAAAAACUUUAAUAGCAGACGGACAGCCAGUGACCAGCCGUGGUCUGGACUGUGAAGUUCACUACCAUUUGUCAAGAACCACUCUUUGCAAAUCCUAUUGGUUUGACCUUUUUGCCUUCCACUUCACCCACAGUGUUAAAUUUUACUUAAUUCGUAGCCUUCCUUGGUUCCAUAUUUGUUUGCGUUUAAUUCAUGUUUAUUUGAGUCUUUUUAACUGAUGGAUGCUCGGUUGCCUGAAAGCAACAUACGUUAUUUUUUGUUUAUUUAUCGUGAGCUUUUUACUUUAUUAAGAUUUUGCAGCGAAGGCCUUACGUGAGUAAUUGAAAUUAAAUGACAUUACAGCAAAAUGAAGAAGAAAACUAGAAUCUGACAGGUAUGACACAUCCAAGCCAUACUAACAGGGUGCAGUCCUGCACCAUGCGUAGCCUCCUUGACAGAUGUUAUUAACCUGCAGUAGUUACCGAGGAUCUAGGAAGACUGGUAUAUGAGGAGGGGGACUUUGAGUACUGAGAUUAAAACCUAAAGCCAGCUGUAUAACAUUCCAUGAAGGAUGCAGUCAUUUAUUGAAAGUGACAAAACAAAAACCAAAAAGAGUUGAGUCUAUUUGGGAAGCUCUUUUAGUUUUAGGUGUAGAAUCUGAACGGUUUUGAGACCCUUGGGGUCGUGUAUUACUUUUUUACAGAGCAGUUCCAAACUCUCUCAUUUUUUUUCUGCCAACUCCUGAACUGAGAGCUCUAGGCUUAUUUGCAGCAGAUAAUGCAGCCGGCCGACUGCCGUGGUCACCUCUGUCUGGGUCAUGGUCUGCCCCGCUGGGAUGCAGAACGUGGCAGGGGUGUGACGGCUCUUCUGGGCACAUCUAGGAAGCCUGCUUACCAGACUUCCAGGCCCUCUCCGUUCAGUUGAUGACUUCAGGGUGUCAAACUCUUAAAAUUUUUCCAACAAAUGGAACAGAAGCCAUUCUGGUUCACCCUGAUUACUUGAACGAUGCACUUGGUGGACCAUCCCAGGAGCCAGGGCAUGCCUCCCGGCUCCAGAAGUCCUUUCAGUGUCUUUGUAGACAGAAACCCCAUUGUAUGUCUCAUACAGAUCUUCCGAUUCAUUUUUCAUUUUCUUACAACUUUUUAUGGAGCUCUCUGAUGAGGAAUCUUUUAGGAUGGCAUUUAUCAGACCGCCAGCAGGGAUCGAAGAUGCUUUAACAAAUUCUAUUCCUUAGGAAUAAAAGCUAACACAAGAGGUGAUUUCCUGGUACUGAUAAAAGCAAAACCAAACCAAAUCCAUAUUACAUCAAAGCCUUGUGAGACAUUCACUUGCUCAUUUGCCAUAUUUAGACGUUAGUGGAAUCAGAAAACCUGUUGUGAUAUGUGUUCUCCAUGAGUUAAGUCUAAUUUGUCUUUUCAUUUCAUGAUGCAUGUCUUUUUUUUUUUUUUUCUUUUGUCAGGAUAACAUCAUAUAGCAUCUUGUUUGUUUUUUUCUCAUUUCUAUGUACAUAUCUAUCUACUUGCGACUGUAGAUGGGUAUAUAGAUAGAUGCCAAGCUUCUUAUGUUCUGGGGGUAGUAUGCACCAUUACUGGGUCUCUGCUUUGAAACACACCAAAAUUCAUUUUCAAAAAAUACGGCUUCAUCCUUGGUCAUUAGGGAGCCCUGACAUGUAUUUCUGGCUCUAAAUUAUGUGUCAUUGAUUUAUAUGUAUAUAUGUGAUGUGUCCAUAUAUAUAUAAAUUUUGUAUCAUCAGGACUGAUAAACAAUUUGAUGUUUUUUGUAUUCAGAAGACCAAAACCAAACCAAAAAAAAGCCACAUAAGCACACAAGAAAGGUGUGCUAUUAUGUUUGUGGCAUUUGUCGUCAUACCUAUUUUUGUCUAGAUUUUUAAAUUGUAGCUUGCCAAGACAUGUUUUUAAUUAUAAUUGGAUUGUAUCAGAAGAAGAAAAGCUCUUACUCUUCUGAGUUAUGGUGCAGAGACUCAAGUUAAUGAACUUGAAAAUAGUGUUGCUUUGUGCACUUAGAAUACCAAUCAGGUGUUUCUUGUGCUACUAGUUGUCACGUUGCAUUUCUGUUCACCUCCUGAUUGAAAUAUCUCAGGUGUACCCAGCCACUAAAGCAUUCUGGACUAAUCGCUAAGGAGAAGCAACGUGGGGUGGGGGCAGGGGCGUAUCCACAUGUACCCACUGUUUGGUCACAGCACUAUGAUUUGCUUUUGAUGUUUGUCUCUAGUGGUGUGUUGUCUGUUGGCAUGCUUAAGCACAUGUCCAUUAAAAUUCAUUUUGUUCCUUUUAUUUUCCUUGUUUUCUUGGUUACUGAUUCAUUUGCAUAAACAUUACUCAUCUGUGCAUUACUGGUUUGGGGUUUUCUCUUUCCUUCUAACUCUAAAGGAAAAAAAAAUUUUUGCUGCAGAAUUUCCCCUAGAAGAGGCUUCCCCUGGCCUUCACCUACCUUGAAGUCUGACCAAGUAUGACAAAUUAUAGCAUUCUUCCAGUAAAUCUUCCUCUGUCCAGGUCCUUGCUGUCACUAGCAGUUUUCGAGUCACACCUGCAGCACUAAUUUUUUUUUUAACCUGGUUUCUAUACACACUAACCCCAUGUCUCCCUGGACUCAUGCCUGGUACAGGCCUUCCAGACCAAUCUCACACUCGCUCCCCAUCAGAAGUUUCCUGAAACCUCCCAUUAGAACAGAUUUGUCAACUUUAAAAUCCACUCACUUCUUUUUGACUUAAGAGUUUUGUGUUUUGGUUAUUAUUCCCCCCUCUGUCUCUCCUUUAAAAGUGAAAGGCAAGAGAGAAAUAUGUAAAUAGCCUUUUGCUCAUAAGCUCAUGUCCACAGGCUGUCACUUGCAAGUCCAGGAUACUCACCAGGCAUCUCCUGCCCUAAGAAUCCAUUUUUUCCCAUUGCUCUGUGGAUAAAGAGUCCUAAUCAAAAGUACCCUUCAGUUGCAUAGCCUCUAGUCUCACCUUGAGCCCUGGUGCUAACAGUGAUAGUUUCAUAGACAGAAUAAAAACUUGAUCCCCACCCCACCCCUUAGAGAAGAUCUAAUGGAGCGACCCAGUUCCUGAGAAUUGACAUCUGAGUGUACAAGCAGAGGUGGCCCUUCUGCCAUUGGUCCUGUUGAGGUGGUUGCCGCUAAUUUGGUGUCACUUGGCUCCGGGCAGCAGUGGUGGGGGAUGUACCUAAUGAGCGUGCCAUUGACACCUCCAUGUCUGUCCGUGUAUGAGGGGUGCAGGUCGUCUGUAACCCACUAAAGCGUCAGCCACACCCAGCUUUAGUAACUCGCUAAUCCCACGCCCUGGGUGUAUCAGCCAGGGGCCGCUCCAGUUCAUGGUACCCAGUUGAUGGCACACAGGCUGAAAGCGAUAAUGAACGGAGACCCUGCUGCAUUGCCCAAGCCGAAAAGCCAGGAGGGUUACAAUAUAAAUGAGCUUGGGAAGGAACAGCUCCCGAAGACGUCUCCAGCCUGGAGGGUCAGAGCCGCUGGAGGCCUGGCUGUCUGGGCUUUCUCGUCUCAGUGCAGCAAGGCACCGUGAUCAACCAACACGUGAUGGGGAAGGCCCUGGUUCUGUCUUUGUUUGGGGGUAAAUAGCCGUGUGGUGUUGAGUGACUGUGAUUGGCUUUUCCAGCUCCUUUAACACAAACUACAACCCACUCACGAUACAACUUGGGCAGAUGUGGUUACAUUGAUGUUUGUUGACUUGCCUCAUUUCCUUCCAGCUCUUAAGUCCCAAAGUCUAACGGGGAUGGUAGAUGUGAAGUGCAUGAUUGCCGUCCUAAUUUCUGCAUGUGUUUAUGACGAUGUGUCGAGGGGUGGGGGAGGAGAGCCGGAGAGCAUUUUCAGAAAGCAGAGGUCUUUCUUGUCUGACUUUGGGGGAAUGCUGUGUAGUUCUGAUAGAGUUAUCUAUCCAUCUGUUUGUGAAUGCCCUUUCGCUUCAACUUCCAGCCCUUCUGGUGGCGUCCUUGGUUGUAAGGUGGCUGCUGUAUAACGUCCGCUCUCAUAUUUAAUAUGUGUGAUUGUUAUCGUUGUCCUUUUGUUUUAAAGUAACCUUAAGAGGAAAUGAUCUGAGUUCUCUUAGAGAAAAUGGAUUGAUCAGAGGAGCAGAGUGCAGUAAAACUCAGCCUAGCAUUUCGCUUUUCUCAUUUCCCCGUAAACGGGCGGGUAUUAAUCCAUCCCCACCUUCUAAUGUCCCUGGUGUCCAGCUGGCUUUGUGGGGUGUGCGAUGGUUUUACUGUACUGCCUCGAUCUGUGCCAGGCAUUUAUACACAGCCACGUGUGCGAGUCAGAGCGUAUGUGGUCACCCCCGGGGCUCACGGGGUCAGCUGAAUGGCCUCUCCGCUGUCCCUAGAUGGCAGAAACGGUGGACACGAGUGAAAUGGUCAACGGCGCCGCAGAACAGAGGACAAGCUCGAAGGAGUCCAGCCCCAUCCCCUCCCCAACCUCCGACCGCAAAGCCAAGACCUCCCUCCCUGCCCAGAGUGCCGCCACCUUGCCGGCCAGAACCCAGGAGACGCCCUCGGCCCAGAUGGAAGGCUUCCUGAAUCGGAAGCACGAGUGGGAGGCCCACAACAAGAAAGCCUCAAGCAGGUCCUGGCACAAUGUUUACUGUGUCAUAAAUAACCAAGAAAUGGGUUUCUACAAAGACGCAAAGACAGCUGCUUCCGGAAUUCCCUACCACAGCGAGGUCCCUGUGAGUUUGAAAGAAGCCAUCUGUGAAGUGGCCCUCGAUUACAAAAAGAAGAAACACGUGUUCAAGCUAAGACUAAAUGAUGGCAACGAGUACCUCUUCCAAGCCAAAGAUGAUGAGGAAAUGAACACGUGGAUCCAGGCCAUCUCCUCCGCCAUCUCCUCUGAUAAACACGAGGUGUCCGCCAGCACCCAGAGCACGCCAGCAUCCAGCCGGGCUCAGACCUUGCCCACCAGCGCCGUGACCAUCACCAGCGAGUCCAGUCCCGGCAAACGGGAGAAGGACAAAGAGAAAGACAAGGAAAAGAGGUUCAGCCUUUUUGGCAAGAAGAAGUGAACUCCUUUCCUUCACCUCCUGCCCUCCUCUUACCUUUUCAGUGACGUUCCAGCAUGCAAGCUCAGAACCAACACAUUACUCUCUGUGCCUAAAUGUUCCUCAAUGUGGUUGAUUUUUUUUUUUUUUAAUUUAUAGAGCAUUUCUCGGGGACGGGGGGUGGGAUGGGGAAAAUACACCUAAACACUUUAUCUCCAAGUUACAAAAGUUUGAGGUGCAGAGGGAAGACCAGAUUUUUUUUAACGAAAUUAUAUAGAUUAGAUCUCGAUAUUUAAAUCGUUCCUCAAUUUUGUGAGGCUGUGUUGGAAAUAACCCGCCUCUAGUGCUGUUGGUAUGCAAGGCAGCGGUGCUUAAACAAUAUUUCCUGUGCUCACCACAGACAAAAUGUACCAAUUUCCUGAUCCCAUUCUCCUCCAUUUACUUCCAGUGGUUUCCUUGAGUCUUGACUAUUAGAAGUACCCAUCCUGGGUCUAACCUGGAUUAAACAGAUUGUGUAUUAUGAUCUGGCUGCAACCACAGUACAGCUCCAUUAUUAACUCUUACAGACCAAACCAUUUGUAUCUGGCAUCACUUACUAACACACAACCUGCAGCUUUUCUGCAUCAACUGCGACGGUUAAGAAUGUCGG